GACGAACGCUGGCGGCGUGCUUAACACAUGCAAGUCGAGCGGUAAGGCCCUUUCGGGGGUACGACGAGCGGCGAACGGGUGAGUAACACGUGGGUGACCUGCCCUUAGCUCUGGGAUAAGCCUGGGAAACUGGGUCUAAUACCGGAUAUGACUCCAUGACGCAUGCUGUGGGGUGGAAAGCCUUGUGCGGCUAGGGAUGGGCCCGCGGCCUAUCAGCUUGUUGGUGGGGUGAGGCCUACCAAGGCGACGACGGGUAGCCGGCCUGAGAGGGCGACCGGCCACACUGGGACUGAGACACGGCCCAGACUCCUACGGGAGGCAGCAGUGGGGAAUCUUGCGCAAUGGGCGAAAGCCUGACGCAGCGACGCCGCGUGAGGGAUGACGGCCUCGG
rnacentral:rRNA from 1 species